rnacentral:rRNA from 1 species
AGAAUCAACGCUGGCGGCGUGCCUAACACAUGCAAGUCGCACGAGAAAGGGUAGCAAUACCUGAGUAAAGUGGCGCACGGGUGAGUAACACGUGAAUAAUCUACCUCCGAGUGGGGAAUAACUGAGAGAAAUCUUAGCUAAUACCGCAUAACACUUACGAGUCAAAGCAGCAAUGCGCUUGGAGAGGAGUUCGCGGCAGAUUAAUUAGUUGGCGGGGUAAUGGCCCACCAAGACGAUGAUCUGUA